AACGCACCUUGCGCCCCUUGGUAUUCCGAGGGGCACACCCGUUUGAGUGUCGUGAAAACCUCAACCUCCUUGGUUUCUUCUGGAGACCAAAGCAGGCUUGGACUUUGGAGGCCUUUGCUGGCACCUCUCUCUUUUGAAGGUCAGCUCCUCUUAAAUGAAUUAGCAGGGUCCUCUUUGCUGAUCCUCGACGUGUGAUAAGAUGUUUCCAUGUCUUGGUUUCUGGCUCUGUCACUCUUGGGACCCGCUUCUAACCGUCUUGACCUUGCGUCGAGACAAUGUUCGAGCACGUCUCCCAUCUCGGGAAGCUCCCUCGACCCCACGAACCCUUGACCUCAAAUCGGGUGAGACUACCCGCUGAACUUAA
rnacentral:misc_RNA from 1 species